GGUAUUUAAAUACAAAGGUACGCACGAUCAUAGGGGGUUACUAUCAUGACAUUGAUACCAGCAUCGACAUAGUGAAUCACCUGUUAAACCAAUCACCCUGGUCUAGACCCAAACGUACAAAUUGUAAGCCGUUUAGUACGGGAUGUUGCCGGUGACAAAACAUUUCAACUGGUACUCGGCCGCGUCAGGUUGACUAGGUCGUAGCGCUCGACGAUUACAUACAUUCUAAAUAAUUACAAUAAUUAACGAUCAAUUUGCAUCUCUCACUGUCUUAGGUUUCACUCGAGAUCCACGCAAGGUCGCCAAGCACACGUAGCACGCGUGUCUCGUUAUAUCACAAUUCCGAUAUGCGGGUACACCGUACGAACAGCAUGGAACUUUGUCAUGCCUCGCAUACUGCCUAUCCUUACUUGUCAAUUCUAGCACGGUUCCACUUGCUACUAAACGAUAAUGUCGCUGACAAUCACCGAUAACCUACAUUAUCGAUGUUCGUACGCAUUAUAGUGUUGAAGAUAGCACAGCAUAGCAGUUGAAAAUUGAAAGAAUGAAACCAAUUUUGUAAUAGCUAUUACAGUGACGGACAAAGGAAAGUGUAAAAGCUGCUUAUUCAUGGAGGUUUAAAAAUAUAUAGUUCCAUUUAAAAAAAAAGGCAAUGAUGGCCUUAAAAUCUCAUAAAAAAAACGAUCCUGGACAAAAUUAUAUUCCGUCAUUAACAACAUAUAUCGAGAUAUUCAAGAUGAACAAAGUUAUUACUACAUUACCAAUAUAAUUAUAAAUAUAUUAUAAUUACCAUUAUAAGUGUCUCUCAAAAUAGUACACCUUUGUCUUGAUAAGUUUCAUCAUAGGACUACGAAUACAAGAAAUAUUCAAGGAACCUUAACGCCAUCAAUCACGAAGUCUUCAUGCUUCAUUUCAACGAAAACGAUGCCAACAGGCUUGCAAGAAGGCCACGUUCGCGGGCAUUAGUGUCUAUGCUAAAACGAAUUAACGACAGUGUCUACAAACUGUCGACAAACGACUGGCAGGUUAAUGUUUUAUAGCAAACCGGAACAGGAAACAUCAUUGAAGCGUGCAACCACAGCAUCGAUGAGAAAAAGUCGCGAACAACGAGGUUCUUUAACUACCGUCCUUCAGAACACACUACAAAAGACAGAUAAGCACAACACUCUUGCUUUUAUU